UGUAUGUGAGUGCAGCCGCAGGAAUCGUCUUGGCAGGUCUGGCCGAAAGUGUUGGCGGCAGACCUGAUGGCGAUUCGAUCGCAGGAGAGCGAACAGACCAGACCAUCACAGAUCCAGCUCCUCCCGAGGCCGUCAGCCCAGAUGCCAUCGUGAAAGCGCUGUCCAUAGUAAUAGCCACAAAGGCUAAUUUAUUUUUAAGGCUGAAGGAACACGUCAGCGCUGCCAACCGUGGAGUAUACGGAGGUUCGUCCUUAACUGGAAUUUCGAGCACCGUUUGGGUCGAAGCCGCGUCGAGUUCCCCUUGUAAAUUCCCUCUGCAAGCCGACUUGUGGUUUCAAAUUCUCAAGUUAUCUCUUUCUAAGAGUAGUGUUAGUUUUGAGGAUUUCUUCGCACCAGUGAUCAACAAUGUGGUUCUCAAUUACCUGCCUCACACUUCUGGCUGUGUCCUGCUUUAAAGGUAAUUUUAAUACUUGACAGUAUGAUUCUCGAAUUCUUCAGUCCUAGGACGCGAAAAGCGACGCGACGCGACAAGACGUGUCGUAAAUCGCUCCCGUUGAGUUGUAAUUUUCAUAGUGUUAAAUGCAAACAUCAAUUUUAAUAUAGUAACUACGUAUAAAUAAACUUUGAGUGAACCCAUUUUCGUGGUAGUCAGUGCUUCAGUGCUUGUGUGUGUCCAGAAAACUGAGAAAUACAAAUCACACAAAGCCUGCGAUCCAUCAAAGGAAUGCUAAGAAUCUAUAGAAUUCAAUCGAUCUUGAACUGAUAUGUCGCUUUAUCACUCACCGCGCGGCACAAAGCUAAGGUCACGGAUAAAGUCGCCCAAUGUUGUGGUAUCUACAUCAAAUUCCAGCCGUUCCCUUGUUGCCACACGGACCAUCGGCUCAGUUACUAAGCCCGAUUUCACGACUGAAUCAGACCAUCGAUUACUACGGUCCACGGCCAAAAAACUGUCGGCUAUCAGUACUCCCAAUAUUUCACCGACUGCAACACCCGAAAUGUCAACAUCGCAAACCAAGAAAGCAUCACCACACACUCUGAUGGCUAAGAGUAACAUACUAGCAAGCGAUGAGGCGAGGAAAAAAAGGAGAAAAGCGGCAACAACAACACCUGAUAACUUAACGACCUCUGGCGACCAGAAUAGGAAGAAAACCCUCAAUAAGAAAAUGUCAACAAAUUCGGACGCAUCAUCUAUCAUCAGUCACAAGGAAGCUCCUUCAAGCAACAGGAUACCACAGGUGAAACGGAAAUCGGAUAAACAACCUCCACCCGAUGACAUGGAACCGGAGAAUAGUGACCGCAUAUGUGAACUAACAUGUCAGCGUGAUGCUUUGAUCAAAGAAAUUACCGACAUUAAAAAUGAAAAUAGUACUCUGUCAAAUUCAAACUUAAAAAUGAGGAAAGAGAUCGGGUAUUUAAAAAAAGAAAUUGUAAAGUUAAAAAGCGAUUCGAGAAGUAAAGAAUAUGUUGAAGAGCUUCAUUGUCAACGUGAGGCCCUAAUCAAAGAAUAAGCGGAUUAUAAAAAAAGCAAAUAAUUCUCUGUCGAACACAAAUUUAAUACUAAGCAAUAAGUCUGAAUCUUUAAAUGAAAAUGUUUUAGAACUGAAUAAAAUGUUAAAUAAUAAAUCAAAAGAUAUAGAAUCCCAAUUAGCUGAAAUAAAGUUAAGUAAUAUAAAAAUCCAAAAACUAAUUAGGGACAAUAAGAAACUAGCAGAUCAACUAUUGUCACAUGAAAACACUGAUGACAUCCUACUAUCAAAAACUAAUACCAAUAUAAGGCCAAAAAAUAAUCCUGCCAGUAUAUCACCUGAAAUUUUGAGAGAGAAGUUUAAUCACUCUUUUACUCCAGAUGCCCUACAGAAUAGUACUAAAAGAAACUUAUUAUUACUCAGUGCUUCACAUGGUCGAGGUUUAUCUUCUAUUUUCAGAGAUAUUUUAGGUAGUAAUAGCAAUUUUAAUAUAAUAUCUAUUUUCAAACCAAAUGCAAUGAUCGAAAAUGUAAUUGAAAAUCUAGAAGAUCUAACUAAAAAUUUCACUGAGGAAGAUAUUGUUGUUGUCAUUGGUGGCUCAAACAACUUUAAUUCUCACAGCAGAUGGAAUGGCAACUGGUGCUAUCAUAAAUUGAAUGACAUAAUUGAGCGUGUUAAAAAACCAAAAAUUUUAUUCAUGAAGUACUACCUAGAUACGACCUACCACCAAACGUGUAUAAUCAAUUUUGUCAAUUCGGAGGUGCUAUGAACAGUAUGUUUUCGAGGAUAGCCUCAAAUACCAAUAAUGUUAAAAUACUUCCGAACAAAGUAGUUGACAGAGUCCAUUUUACUAAUCAUGGGUUACACCUAAAUAGAUGGGGGAAAAAGUUGUUCGUAAAUGCAAUCAUGACAACUAUAGAUAAGAUCUGUGAAGUAAUUAAUUUAAACGAGUAGACUAUGACAAAGAAAAAAAUCUUUUUCUGCAAAGUAAGAGUGAUGUUAGGUCAGUAGUGAAUAGGACUCUGUUUAAUGUUAAGGAGACUGAAAUGUUAUCAAGUGUAAAAGAGGAAACAUUUCUGGUAUUUAUAAAUAUAAGAUCGAUAACCAAAAAGAUAGAGAAACUGGAAGUGUUC
rnacentral:lncRNA from 1 species